rnacentral:lncRNA from 1 species
GCGGAACAGAGUUCAAACUGCUUUGCAGGACAUUUCUGAUUUCCCCAGCCAAAAGCUCAGAGCAGAAGAGACGAUGCCAAGCAAGAGGAAGAAGAACAGGAGGAGGAUGAGGAGAGUGGUAAAAGCUGAGGAACAGACUAUACCUCAGGUGGUCAGAGCCAAUGAAGCUGGGCCAACCAAGUAUGAGUCAGGGGCUGAAACUGAAACAGUCUCCAAGUUACAAUCAGACAUUGGUGAAGCUGAAGCUGUGUAUGCUGAACAGUGGGAGAAAUCUGCUUCAGAAACUGCAGUGGAACCUUUACCUGUUCUAGAGGAACAGAGAGAACCCUCCCAGGAAGAAACUACAGGGAGAGUGACUGAGAUAAAGGAAACACUGCUGUCCCAGUCUACUGAAGCUGAAACCAGAGGAGAGUUUUCCAUGGAAACAGAUGCUGCAGAGGAACCACUGGUGUGUUCUUUCCCGGAACCUGAACUUCUAUCAGGGCAGAUCACACACACCAGCCCCUCACACACACAGGAAGCUGCUUCAAGUGACCCAUCCACUACAGAUGACCCUGCAGAUGAUCCUGUUGAUGAUCCUGUAGAUGAUCUGAUGGAAGAGCCAGUAGCAGAAAUGCAGAGUCACACACACCUCAGCUCUAUGCGGGUGGACGGCCCGGACUCUGUCGGGGGACUUCUGGCUCCCGCUGAAGUCUUUAUUGAGGGUUAAACUUGACCGGAGGGGAGGAACCGCUGGUGAUCUGGAUCUGCUGAACUGUGCAUUUCUGUCUUUAAACAGUGUCAGAUAUUGAUUAUUAUUACUCUAAUGGGUGCUGAUCAGUUUUGGAAUUAUUCAUUAAAGCUGGCAGAUAAAUGUAUGUUUUAUAUGUGUAUUAAAACAGUUGUUGUAUUUUGGAGGAAACCGAAAAAAGUGUUUGGAUUUGGUGAUCUGGACUGAUUGGAUUAAUCAAUACAAGAUUAAUUCAAACUAAACUUAACCUUUUUAGAAACACUGUUACUUCAACAGCUUUUGAUCCAUUAUUGAAAAAGAAUGUUUUUUUUUUUGUUGUUGAUACAUUAUUUACGGAUUCCUGCAGCUGGUCCUCUUUUACUAUCCUUACGUUUUUUUUUAUUUGAUUUUCCUUUAGAUUAUUUUUUUCAUGUAUUGCAUAGACUAGGUGUUUGGUGCUAAACUGCCAGUGUGUUUGGAAGGGUAGAGAAGCUUCAAUUGGAAUAAAAAAAUAAUUUCCCCC